AAAGGUGAAAUUGUUGUAUUUUUUUAUAAGAGAGUUUUAUAAAAGAGGCUAGUAAGCCUUUAAAAUAAACUAGGAUUAGAUACCCUAUUAUAUAAAGGUUUAAUAAAAUAAUACUUGAUUAUUAAUAGAUAUUUACUUUAAAUUUAAAGAAUUUGGCGGUGGUUUAGUCUAGUCAGAGGAACCUGCUUUUUAAUCGAUAUGACACGUAGAUUUUUACUUAAGUUUGUAUACCAUCAUUGGCAGAUAAUUUUAUAAAAAAUAAAAUUAUUAAAAGUAAUUGUAUUAAUAAAAUUAGAUCAAGGUGCAGCUUAUAAGUAAGUUAAAGUGGGUUACAAUAAAAUUUAUUUAAACGAAAUGAAGUUCGGGAAGGAGGAUUUGAUUGUAAUAUAAAUUUAGUAAGUUUAGGAGAUAAUAGCUCUAAAUUGUGUACAUAUCGCCCGUCGCUUUC
rnacentral:rRNA from 1 species